rnacentral:lncRNA from 1 species
AUUAUUAUGUAAUACAGGUGAGCAUUUCGGUGAUAGGUGUUCAGGUAGGACCAAGGUCAGUAGAAGAUGGAGAAGACAGAAGACCUUGGUAUAUUGCUGCAAUUUCCACAUUUUCAGGGAAGGAACGCACUUGCCAAUGAGGAAGUGAGAGGCUUAUUGCAGCUGUCAAAAGGUCUGAACAAGUCCUCAACAAUGGCUCCCUACUGCUGUUUACCGGAUGAUUGGAUGCAUCGCCGAUCAAAGACAUCAGAUUCAUGUUGGACAUCGCCUGCACCCAUUCCAAGAUUGUCUCGCUUGUUGAAGUUUGUCUUAUAGCUUAUUUGCAGGAUUGACAUUUGGUGUGAAAUGUAAUCUUUGCCUUGGAUAAUAAUAUUCUGCAUAAAACGAGUAUCAAAAUAAUUGUUGCACGCAGCAAGAAUUUUUUAAUGAAACUUCUGAUCAGAGAAAAAGAAAGAAAUGGAUAUCGUCGAUAUAUAUUACAGAUUUGUUUCUAAAUUGUAGUACAGUACUCUAUCAGCUCAUAUCGUUUCAAGGUAUUUUAUUUAUUAUGUAUAUUUAUUAUUGUGUCAGGGGGAGGUACCCAUCAGUUCUCAAACAAAAAUACGGUACUUUUUUGAGUUCACCUUUAAGAAAAUAAUUUUAAUUCAAAAAGUAUUUGCUGAAGUGAUGGAUUAAAACAAAAAUGAUAGUUAUUAUCAUUAUAAGGCGAAUUUAGGUAGAAUACUGUUCCUGUUCCUUCUAGUUGAAGGUAAAAUUUAUCUGUGGGCAAAUCUUCAAUCGGCCACUUAGCUGUGCAUUUGAGGAUAUUUUAAAUAUUUAUUUUGAAUUGAAUUGAAUUCUGAGAAAUUUCAAGAAGAAAAAUAUCUCAACUUUAUUACAUGAAACUUUUGAGAAACAAACGGUUACAUAUAUUGACCGUUAAG